rnacentral:rRNA from 1 species
GGUGAACGCUGGCGGCGGGCCUAAUACAUGCAAGUCGAGCGAACAGAUAAUGAGCUUUCUCCUCUGACGGUAGCGGCUGACGGGUGAGUAACGCGUGGAUAACCUACCUAUAUUACUUGGAUAACUUCGGGGAACCGCAGCUACUACUGGAUAAUAUAUUGAACGGGUUGAAUCAAUAGUUAUUGACGCUUUGGCUGACUCUAUUAGAUGGUUCCGCGUCGCAUUAGCUAGUUGGUAAGGUAACGGCUUACCAAGGCAACGAUGCGUAGCCGACCUGAGAGGAUGAUCAGCCACACUGGAACUGAGACACGGUCCAGACUCCUACGGGAGGCAGCAGUGGGGAAUAUUCGGCAAUGGGCGAAAGCCUGACGCAGCCAUGCCGCGUGAGUGAUGAAGGUCUUCGGAUCGUAAAACUCUGUUAUUAGGGAAGAAAAAAAGUGUGAGAAACCAUGCACGUCUUGACGGUACCUAAAGAGAAAGCAACGGCUAACUUCGUG